UACAGAGGUCCCGAGCGUUGUUCGGAUUCACUGGGCGUAAAGGGUGCGUAGGCGGUUCUGAAAGUCUGAUGUGAAAUCUCCGGGCCCAACCCGGAAAUGGCAUUAGAAACUACAGGGCUAGAGGCUUGGAGGGGGAACUGGAAUUCUCGGUGUAGCAGUGAAAUGCGUAGAGAUCGAGAGGAACACCAGUGGCGAAGGUGAGUUCCUGGACAAGUCCUGACGCUGAGGCACGAAAGCCAGGGGAGCAAACAGG
rnacentral:rRNA from 1 species